rnacentral:rRNA from 1 species
GACGAACGCUGGCGGCGUGCUUAACACAUGCAAGUCGAACGGAAAGGCCCUGCUUUUGUGGGGUGCUCGAGUGGCGAACGGGUGAGUAACACGUGAGUAACCUGCCCUUGACUUUGGGAUAACUUCAGGAAACUGGGGCUAAUACCGGAUAGGAGCUCCUGCUGCAUGGUGGGGGUUGGAAAGUUUCGGCGGUUGGGGAUGGACUCGCGGCUUAUCAGCUUGUUGGUGGGGUAGUGGCUUACCAAGGCUUUGACGGGUAGCCGGCCUGAGAGGGUGACCGGCCACAUUGGGACUGAGAUACGGCCCAGACUCCUACGGGAGGCAGCAGUGGGGAAUAUUGCACAAUGGGCGGAAGCCUGAUGCAGCAACGCCGCGUGCGGGAUGACGGCCCUCGGGUUGUAAACCGCUUUCGCCUGUGACGAAGCGUGAGUGACGGUAAUGGGUAAAGAAGCACCGGCUAACUACGUA